UUUUUCAAACCACCAACCUCUAGUGGCAUCCAGGGGGAAAAAGUGAAUUUCGAGAAUCUGUGGGUGGAAAAUAGAAUCACAGCAUCUUUGGGAGAGGUUCUUUAGUUCAGUGAGACCCGUUUGCCAUCUGAAUACCGUGGCUUGAAGUACCCCAUAAAAAACGAAAUUCUGGACGUAAUUACUACACCAUCCUACUUGCCAACGGGGCCAGUCCAGGACUUCCACUGAUGGCUUCAGCCCUCACACCCCCAGGCCAGGAGCCAGCAGGACAUCCCAGGCACCACAGCACGAUCCAUCUGGGGUCCACUGGGCCCCAGCAGAGAGCUGACACCUGCUUGCCAUCAUGGAGGAGCCUGCCGUCAAGAGGCGCCUGAAGAUGAUUCAACUCAACACUUCAGUCUACGAAGAUGUGGCCGGGUGUCUUCCGGUGCAGGAAUAUGUCUCGUAUACACACCACUGUCAUAUCAACUUCAAGGCCCUCAGGGUGCCUACAAGAAGGCCCACAUGGCUAUUCUGUGCUCUGGGCCAGCCCCUCAGGACUGCCCCUUCCAUGAAGAGAUGGAUUGGGUGCUGCAGAUCAAGAGAUGGAUUGGGUGCACCAGCCCAGCCAACCUCAGGGAGCAGACCCGGCCAUGGGAUCUUGACCACCACAACCAGCUGACCCAGCGAAGAAAAACAAAGUCAUGAGCAGAAAGAUGGGCCAGAAGGGUGCUCUCCUCAGCAGCAGCAGCAGCAGAGGCACCAGAACCAGAGGUGGAGGAUGGAGACAGAGCAUCCGUUUAAGCUAGAAAUGGAAGUGUUGGAGCUGCCCAUGACCUCCGACUUGAAAGCCCGGCUGGUACCCAGACCAACAAGACAACCGAGGUGGAGGUUAGCCAGGAUGCCUAAGAAACUGGGCCAGAAGUCCAGAGGGGACCAGUCUCCAGACAGAAACCAGCCUCAGAGAGAAACUUCGUCAUCAGCUCCUGGGGUGUCUACAGUGCCCCCUAGAGCACAGGUGCCACCGAUGAACAGAAAAGACUGACCUAAAAUGCCUCGCUUUCCCUCCUCCCUGGUUCACCUCGAGAGGGACUUAAUGUUCACCGAACUUGAACUUCAGCCUCCAAGCGGAGGCAGUUAACGGGAAGGUUUCAAAAGGAGUCAGAGGAACCCCCUCCUGCCGUUUACCUAAAUUCGCCAAUUGUCUCCUUUUGCCCCAUUUGCUGGCCUUUACCCUCAGUAGUAGGGGCCCUCUCUCCCCGACCAGGCCACCCGGAGGUCUGUCCUGGCCACCCACUGAGGGCCCUGCAAUUCCAGGGAUGGGAAGUUGACUUUGACGUUAAAGAAGUUAAAGAACAGCAAAACCCUCCUCAGGAGGGAACAGAUGACUUCGAGUACCUUCUUAGACCUCGAAACCCUGGGCCGCUGACUUUGCCGCUAUUCACACUUGAAGUGAGUUUAUCAGCUUUUCUCCAGUCAGACUCUUAGCUGAAAGCAGAUCCUCGUGCAAAGAAGAGUUGAUCCUCAGAGACAGGUCCAGGGCGAGGGUGUCGCCCGUCAGGGACCACCUGAAUUGGAUUCUGCAGUUUGGGAACUUGGCGCUCACCAAGGGAAAGCUAGAAUGAGAAAAGUAGAGAACAGGGAGAGGAGAGAGAAAGAAAUAAGUUCUCCAAGGAAAGAACAAACCAAGACCUAAACAAAACAACCUACACGUUCUGGCUUCCCACUUCCUAUCUUUGCAGUAAAGGUUUCCCUGAGCGACUACAAAACAAAAUUCACGUAAGUGAUAGUCCUUCGUGCAAAGAAGUCGGCCACCAGGGGACGUAGACUGUUGGAGAAACAUAGGCUUAAAUUCAACCUGUAACGACAAAAUUACUCAGGCUUUGUCAGCGCUGUUCUAGUUCUGUUGCUUCUACAAGCAGCUGUGUGGCUUCCAGAGUCCAGUGUAGACGACUGGGAGGCUGUCUGCACCUGGGACGUUGAACAGUCUCAGAGUCCAGGCUCAUGGGCUGGUGGGCUCAGCCUGAAACCGCACACCUCGGUUGGGACUCGAACCCACAGUCUUCCAACUGAAACCACACAGCUUGUCUCAGGACUUCAUGUCUCGGCACAGAAGGAACUCAGUGAGAGGCAAAGUGAUAGCCUCGGGCUUCCCUGGUGGCACAGUGGUUAAGAAUCCACCUGCC